GUACAGGUUCAAUUUAGGUGUGAAGUAUUUCAACAACUGUAUCAACUAAUAAUAUUACAAAUAUUAUCAACUUUUGAUACUAAGAAUGGCAUUAUUUCGUUUAACAACUCGUCAAGGUUAUGUAGUGGCCACAUUAGGAGCUAUCAGCGGUUAUAUUAUUUGGAACAAACCUUUAAAAGAAUACUCUGAAAAACAUUUCCCUGAAAGAAAUUCCAAUAAAGAAAUAUAUCAUGGCGAAUCGCAAGGAUCCUAAAAAAUCUCUAAAUAGAUUAUUUACUAGUAUAGCUGUAGCUAUAGGAUUCAUCUGUGCUUAUAAGUUUUACUUUAAAUCAUAUGUUUCUACUUACGCAACACAACAAAUUGAAGAAGAUGCAAAUAUAUUAUAUGAAAAGUAUAAAAAGA